UUCCCCGUUCGAUGUUCUAAAGAAGUAGUGUGAUAACGGUUCGUCUAAAACCGUUGGUUGCUUAGUACCCAAUCAAUCUAUCACACAAUUUUACGUUAGAGCUGACAACGGGUUUUUUG
rnacentral:sRNA from 1 species